rnacentral:rRNA from 1 species
UACGUAGGGGGCAAGCGUUGUCCGGAAUCAUUGGGCGUAAAGAGCGUGUAGGCGGUCCGGUAAGUCGGCUGUGAAAGUCCAGGGCUCAACCCUGGGAUGCCGGUCGAUACUGCCGGACUAGAGUCCGGAAGAGGAGAGUGGAAUUCCCGGUGUAGCGGUGAAAUGCGCAGAUAUCGGGAAGAACACCCGUGGCGAAGGCGGCUCUCUGGGACGGUACUGACGCUGAGACGCGAAAGCGUGGGGAGCGAACAGG